rnacentral:rRNA from 1 species
ACGACACUAGCUUGCUAGUGGGCGACGAGUGGCGGACGGGUGAGUAACGCGUAGGAAUCUACCUAGUAGUGGGGGAUAGCCAAGGGAAACUUUGGGUAAUACCGCAUACGAUCUAAGGAUGAAAGGGGGCCUCUCUUUGAAGCUCUCGCUAUUAGAUGAGCCUGCGUAAGAUUAGCUUGUUGGUGAGGUAAUGGCUCACCAAGGCGACGAUCUUUAGCUGGUCUGAGAGGAUGAUCAGUCACACUGGAACUGAGACACGGUCCAGACUCCUACGGGAGGCAGCAGUCGGGAAUAUUGGACAAUGGGGGAAACCCUGAUCCAGCCAUGCCGCGUGUGUGAAGAAGGCCCUAGGGUUGUAAAGCACUUUUAGUAGUGAGGAAGGCUCAGCAGUUAAUACCUGCUGGGAUUGACGUUAGCUACAGAAAAAGCACCGGCUAAUUUCGUGCCAGCAGCCGCGGUAAU